rnacentral:lncRNA from 10 species
ACCACCUACUUAUAUCUGUUUGUAUGUAUAGGGGAGGGAGGAAGCUGAGAUGAGCCAUCUGUACUCUGCUUCUCUGUCUUCUGUAAGACUAAUGGUGCCCGUUAAUGAGGUCUGAAUCCUUCUGAUACAGACUUUUAUGGAGCUACUUUGAGUGGAUUUCCAUUGCUUGAAAACAUAUUUCCUGCCUUGGACAGCCAAGGAGAAGUUGCCAGCUGAAGAAACCAGGUGACAAGGAACCAACAGAAAAUGAUGACAACAAAAAGAAAACUAUCCUGGAACAUCGAAUGAGAGAGAAGAUGUCUAGGAGACAAGGUGGAUGCACAGGUCCCAGAGCAUAGUGAGAAUCCUCUGAUUCUGGAUAAUACUCUGAAGGUAAUUAUCAACUUUAGUCCUAAAAACACUU